CCUACGGGAGGCAGCAGUGGGGAGUAUUGGACAAUGGGGGCAACCCUGAUCCAGCAAUGCCGCGUGAGUGAUGAAGGCCUUAGGGUUGUAAAGCUCUUUCGGCGGGGAAGAUGAUGACGGUACCCGCAGGAGAAGCCCCGGCUAACUUCGUGCCAGCAGCCGCGGUAAU
rnacentral:rRNA from 1 species